ACGGGGCCCGCACAAGCGGUGGAGCAUGUGGUUUAAUCGAAGCAACGCGAAGAACCUUACCAGGUCUUGACAUCCCGAUGCUAUUUCUAGAGAUAGAAAGUUACUUCGGUACAUCGGUGACAGGUGGUGCAUGGUUGUCGUCAGCUCGUGUCGUGAGAUGUUGGGUUAAGUCCCGCAACGAGCGCAACCCCUAUUGUUAGUUGCCAUCAUUCAGUUGGGCACUCUAGCGAGACUGCCGGUAAUAAACCGGAGGAAGGUGGGGAUGACGUCAAAUCAUCAUGCCCCUUAUGACCUGGGCUACACACGUGCUACAAUGGUUGGUACAACGAGUUGCGAGUCGGUGACGGCGAGCUAAUCUCUUAAAGCCAAUCUCAGUUCGGAUUGUAGGCUGCAACUCGCCUACAUGAAGUCGGAAUCGCUAGUAAUCGCGGAUCAGCACGCCGCGGUCGAAUACGUUCCGGGCCUU
rnacentral:rRNA from 1 species